ACACACAUUUUCAUAUUCAAAUUUCGAAUACAGAGCCUUUUGACAUUAUAUCUGUUUAUAUAACUGUAAAGCAAGGAGCACUGAAGCAGGUCAGAGAGACAGCAACCAACAGCAGGAGAAAAUGGAGCCUCUUCUAUUUCUACUUGUGUUUGGUCAGAUCUCUUUCUCAAUGUCUGAAUACCCUGUGUACCACUUCAUUGAGGAAAAAAAACAUGGCAUGAAGCUCAGGAGUACUGCAGAAAAAAUUACACAGACCUGGCCACAGUCAACUAUAUGACAGACCUGGAGAGACUGAAAAAAGUUGUAAACGGAGGAGGAGGCGUAUGGAUUGGACUUCAUAAAACCAGCGACAACCUCACAGACAGGAAGUGGCACUGGUCUCAGCCUGGAGUCAAGUACAAUGAAACAGAGGCAAACGGUGGAAAACAACGGAGCCAACGUAUAAUGG